UCGGUGAUAGCUAAGCUAGUAGAGUGAAGGACUGUAGUCAUGCAGCAGCAAUCCUUAGGUCGGUAGUUCAAAUCCGCCUCACCGGA
rnacentral:tRNA from 1 species